CAAUAGUAACAUCUCUCCAGCCAUGGGAUUAAAUGGCAUGAUUCAGAGCCGUUGCUCUGUUGCUGCACAGUGGGUCCAGAGGAGGCCGUGAAGAUGAUCAGAGGGCUGGAGCACCUAUUCUGUGAAGAAAGGAGAAAGAAAGGUAACUUGGGAUUGAAGGGGAGUAAUCAUCUCACUGUUCAACUCCAGGAACCAAGCACCAAGCACUAAAAACUUGCCAUUUGUGGCUGCUGAUUUCCUAUAACCCCAUCACUUGAGGGCUCUGGACUUUAUGAUUCAGAAUUUCUUUGAGAUAUUUACUUAACAACUACAGAAUUUCACGCAGAGGCACAGCUACGAUUGCCAAAGAGCUAUGUUGACAAGUGCUCGGACUGCAGUGCCCAAGCCUAAGGCUGUGACUCUACCUGUGCCAGAAGACAGCUGACAUCUGGAAACCAAAUUUCAUUACAGUUACCCACGUUUGAACUUUGCCCUUUGGACACAGACAGGAGUCACUCAUCAAAGCCACAAAAAGGCACAAAUCUCAUAAUGAGCCCUGCAGUGGCUGAUACACAUUCCUCAGUUUAUUUCAAUUACAGGUCAGAUUCUGUAAUCACCUGAAGAACUCUGCGUUAUAUCUGAUCCUCUACAACAACACCCACAGGUAUACAUAACUCUAGACAGCCAAUGGGAGAUCAAGACAGCAUCACAUUUGCUUGGCUUCUCAAAAAACUCAUCUGGAAGAGCCUAAACAACCUAGUACAAAUCCUUUUUGUACAACUUAUCUUCAGUAGGAACACUGCACUGAAUCUGUGUUCAUAAAUGUUAAUCAUUCCCUUCAGUUCACCCAUAAUUAUUACUGUUCUCCUUAGAAAUGAUAUUUAUAAGCUAGUCUGCUAAGAAACUUAGCUCAGAGGCUUUGUAUUUCCACUUUUUCUCUUAUACUGCAAAUAUUGAAUGAUGGAAGUAUGACAGUCAUUAUGAUCCCUAUCUAUUUUGGAGAUAUUUUUAGUUUUCUCGCAAUUAUAUACUGCGGUCCAGGGUUAGCAAUCUAUGUCAAAGUACUUACAGAAUUCAUCAUGUAUAGGCACCUAAUUACUCUGCAAGAAAUUAAUUAGUGUCUUAACAAGGUAAUUUAAGGAACAAACUACAGAAGUUUCAGACAAAUUUAUCACUGCUCUUUUCUAGCCACGUGACAUGUUUUCUCAACCCCGUGAGAGACUGGCUUGGAGCUUUGUCAGGGGAGGAUCACACUGGGUAUUAGGGAAAGGUCCUGCACAAGAGGGCAGUGGGCAUGGAGGAGGGUGCCCAGGGCAGUGGGCACAGCCCCAAGUGUUGGAAUUCAAGAAGUGUUUGGGCAGAACUCUCAGACAUAGGGUUUGGAUUUUGGGUGGUGUUGUAUGGAGAUGCUAAAGCUACUAUGGAUGUCAGCCUAAGUAGAAGGCUUCAUCCUGUAAAUAAGAGUUUGUACACAGUUCAGAAGUAGUGAAGUAUGAACUGUUCAAUGUUAUUACUGUUCAGUGAAGUGCUUCCUGUGAACAGAGGCAGACCUUCCUCCACUGACUUGAAUCAUAGCACUAGAUUUCUAAUACAUUCCCUUUGGUUUACCCAUCUGGCUUUAUUAACAUAGCAAACACAAAGUCUUUCAGACCUCAUUUUCCUUGCUUUUUACUGAUUUAUGGUCCUUUCCUUCCCCGUUACCAGAGGCGGAAAUCUUAAACAUCAACAUGCGGUGUAAAAGUGGCAGAUACAGAAGUGCUGCUUACCAAAAUCACAGAAUUAUCGGCAUGAUUUUCUCAAACACAUUCAAUAUAUAUUUUUUUUUUA